CCUACGGGAGGCAGCAGUGGGGGAUAUUGCACAAUGGGGGGAACCCUGAUGCAGCGACGCCGCGUGGGUGAAGAAGCGCCUCGGCGCGUAAAGCCCUGUCAGCAGGGAAGAAAAUGACGGUACCUGAAGAAGAAGCCCCGGCUAACUACGUGCCAGCAGCCGCGGUAAUACGUAGGGGGCAAGCGUUAUCCGGAUUUACUGGGUGGAAAGGGGGCGCAGACGGCGAUGCAAGCCAGGAGUGAAAGCCCGGGGCCCAACCCCGGGACUGCUCUUGGAACUGCGUGGCUGGAGUGCAGGAGGGGCAGGCGGAAUGCCUGGUGUAGCGGUGAAAUGCGUAGAUAUCAGGAGGAACACCGGUGGCGAAGGCGGCCUGCUGGACUGCAACUGACGUUGAGGCCCGAAAGCGUGGGGAGCAAACAGGAUUAGAUACCCUAGUAGUC
rnacentral:rRNA from 1 species